UACGUAGGGUGCGAGCGUUGUCCGGAAUUACUGGGCGUAAAGAGCUCGUAGGUGGUUUGUCGCGUUGUUCGUGAAAUCUCACGGCUUAACUGUGAGCGUGCGGGCGAUACGGGCAGACUAGAGUACUGCAGGGGAGACUGGAAUUCCUGGUGUAGCGGUGGAAUGCGCAGAUAUCAGGAGGAACACCGGUGGCGAAGGCGGUUCUCUGGGCCUUACCUGACGCUGAGGAGCGAAAGCGUGGGGAGCGAACAGG
rnacentral:rRNA from 1 species